AAUCAACGCUGGCGGCGUGCCUAACACAUGCAAGUCGAACGCGAAAGCCCGCAAGGGUGAGUAGAGUGGCGCACGGGUGAGUAACACGUGGACAACCUGCCUUCGAGUGGGGAAUAACCUUCCGAAAGGAGGGCUAAUACCGCAUAACACCUCGGGACACAAGUUCUGGGGUUGAAAAGAGCAAUUUGCUCGAAGAGGGGUCCGCGCCUGAUUAGCUAGUUGGUGAGGUAACGGCUCACCAAGGCUUCGAUCAGUAGCCGUCCUGAGAGGGAGCACGGCCACACUGGAACUGAGACACGGUCCAGACUCCUACGGGAGGCAGCAGUGGGGAAUUUUGGCAAUGGGCGAAAGCCUGACCAAGCAACGCCGCGUGGGUGAUGAAGUAUCUUGGUACGUAAAACCCUUUCGGCAGGGACGAACCUAAUGACGGUACCUGCGGAAGAAGCCCCGGCUAACUCCGUGCCAGCCGCCGCCGUAAG
rnacentral:rRNA from 1 species